CUUGUACUCCCUCCGUCCGAAAAUACUUGUCAUUAAAAUGGAUGUAUCUAGAUGUAUUUUAGUUCUAGACACAUCCAUUUUGAUGACAAGUAAUUCCGGACGAAGGGAGUACUUG
rnacentral:pre_miRNA from 1 species